GAUGAACGCUGGCGGCGUGCCUAAUACAUGCAAGUCGAGCGAACGGACGAGAAGCUCGCUCCUCUGAUGUUAGCGGCGGACGGGUGGGUAACACGUGCAUAACCUACCUCUUAUACUGGGAUAACUUCGGGAAACCGGUGCUACUACUGGAUAAUAUUUCCAACCGCUCGAUUCAAAAGUGCAUCACGCCUUUCGCGUUACUUUUAGAUGAUUUCGCGCUGCAUUAGCUAGUUGGUAAGGUAACGGCCUACCAAGGCAACGAUGCGUAGCCGACCUGAGAGGAUGAUCGGCCACACUGGAACUGAGACACGGUCCAGACUCCUACGGGAGGCAGCAGUAGGGAAUCUUGCACAAUGGGCGAAAGCCUGACGGAGCAACGCCGCGUGAGUGAUGAAGGUCUUCGGAUCGUAAAGCUCUGUUAUUAGGGAAGAACAUAUGUGUAAGUAACUGUGCAUGUCUUGACGGUACCUAAUCAGAAAGCCACGGCUAACUACGUG
rnacentral:rRNA from 1 species